rnacentral:rRNA from 1 species
AGCUGAGAGGUGGUGCAUGGCCGUCGUCAGUUCGUACUGUGAAGCAUCCUGUUAAGUCAGGCAACGAGCGAGACCCACGUCCACAGUUGCCAGCAUACCCUCCGGGGUGAUGGGUACACUGUGGAGACCGCCGCUGCUAAAGCGGAGGAAGGAGUGGGCAACGGUAGGUCAGUAUGCCCCGAAUCUCCCGGGCUACACGCGGGCUACAAUGGUUGGUACAAUGGGCAUCUACCCCGAAAGGGGAAGGAAAUCUCUUAAAGCCAAUCGUAGUUCGGAUUGAGGGCUGCAACUCGCCCUCAUGAAGCUGGAAUCUGUAGUAAUCGCGUUUCAACAGAACGCGGUGAAUACGUCCCUGCUCCUU